rnacentral:rRNA from 1 species
UGAGUAACCUGCCCUUCACUCUGGGAUAACUCCGGGGAAACCGGGGCUAAUACUGGAUAUGACUCGAACAGGCAUCUGUUUCGGGUGGAAAGAUUUAUUGGUGGAGGAUGGACUCGCGGCCUAUCAGCUAGUUGGUGAGGUAACGGCUCACCAAGGCGAUGACGGGUANCUGGUCUGAGAGGAUGGCCAGCCACAUUGGGACUGAGACACGGCCCAGACCUCCGUACGGGAGCA